rnacentral:rRNA from 1 species
AUUGAACGCUGGCGGCAGGCCUAACACAUGCAAGUCGAGCGGAUGAAGGGAGCUUGCUCCUGGAUUCAGCGGCGGACGGGUGAGUAAUGCCUAGCAAUCUGCCUGGUAGUGGGGGGUAACGUCCGGAAACGGGCGCUAAUACCGCAUACGUCCUGAGGGAGAAAGUGGGGGAUCUUCGGACCUCACGCUAUCAGAUGAGCCUAGGUCGGAUUAGCUAGUUGGUGGGGUAAAGGCCUACCAAGGCGACGAUCCGUAACUGGUCUGAGAGGAUGAUCAGUCACACUGGAACUGAGACACGGUCCAGACUCCUACGGGAGGCAGCAGUGGGGAAUAUUGGACAAUGGGCGAAAGCCUGAUCCAGCCAUGCCGCGUGUGUGAAGAAGGUCUUCGGAUUGUAAAGCACUUUAAGUUGGGAGGAAGGGCAGUAAGUUAAUACCUUGCUGUUUUGACGUUACCAACAGAAUAAGCACCGGCUAACUUCGUG